AGUGAACGCUGGCGGCAGGCCUAAUACAUGCAAGUCGAACGGCAGCACAGUGGAGCUUGCUCCAUGGGUGGCGAGUGGCGGACGGGUGAGGAAUACAUGGGAAUCUGCCCAGUCGUGGGGGAUAACGUAUGGAAACGUACGCUAAUACCGCAUGCGCCCUUCGGGGGAAAGUCGGGGACCGCAAGGCCUGACGCGAUUGGAUGAGCCCAUGUUCGAUUAGCUAGUUGGCGGGGUAACGGCCCACCAAGGCGACGAUCGAUAGCUGGUCUGAGAGGAUGAUCAGCCACACUGGAACUGAGACACGGUCCAGACUCCUACGGGAGGCAGCAGUAGGGAAUAUUGGACAAUGGGGCGCAAGCCUGAUCCAGCCAUGCCGCGUGAGUGAAGAAGGCCCUCGGGUUGUAAAGCUCUUUGUUGGGUAAGAAAGCAGUUGGUUAAUACCCGAUUGUUCUGACGGUACCCAAAGAAUAAGCACCGGCUAACUUCGUGCCAGCAGCCG
rnacentral:rRNA from 1 species